GCUUUGGUUGACUGGUUGUGUUGAAUUAAACUUGUGAAUUUAAUAGUAGGUAAUUUACUACAGAAAAUUUUUAAAGUCGUGCGUGAUACAAUUAAUUUAAAAAAAGCAUGAGAUAACUUGAAGGCCAUGGCUCGCAAAACAAGAGCUGCAGAGAGGCGCAAUUUAACAAAGACUGGUGGCCAUCGUGGCGGAGGUGGGCCAUCUAAUCCCCCACAUUCACCACAGCAGGGAGCCAUAAUAAGCAUGGUUGAGGAGGAGGAGGUACAAAUGGCUUUUAAUAAAAAUUGCAUUCAUUUGUUUCUGUUCUUCAGACUGCUCCAAUAAUAAUAUGUCAAGU
rnacentral:misc_RNA from 1 species